UGGGGAAUAUUGCACAAUGGACGGAAGUUUGAUGCAGCGACGCCGCGUGGAGGGUGUAGGCCUUCGGGUUGUGAACUCCUUUUUCUCGCGAAAAAGGCACAGUUUUGGCUGUGUUGAUGGUAGUGGGGGAAGAAGCGCCGGCUAACUACGUGCCAGCAGCCGCGGUAAUACGUAGGGCGCGAGCGUUGUCCGGAUUUAUUUGGCGUAAAGAGCUCGUAGGUGGUUCGUCGCGUCUGUCGUGAAAGCCAGCAGCUUAACUGUUGGUCUGCGGUGGGUACGGGCGGGCUUGAGUGCGGUAGGGGUGACUGGAAUGCCUGGUGUAGCGGUGGAAUGCGCAGAUAUCAGGAGGAACACCGAUGGCGAAGGCAGGUCACUGGGCCGUUACUGACACUGAGGAGCGAAAGCGUGGGGAGCGAACAGG
rnacentral:rRNA from 1 species